AGAUGGGCGGGGUAUAAAUAAUAAAUUAUUAUUAUUAUAUUAUUAUUAUUGUCUCCAUGCUCCUCGCUGCUUAAUUCUAUAAGGAACAACACUGAGAAUUCAGGAGGAUGAAGCUAUCGGUGAGAGACACCCGUGGACUGGUUGUAAGUGAGAAGGUAGUGAGGUGGGGGCUGCCUGGGGGAAGAGGGGCAGCACCCCACUUGCAAAUAGACUUUCCAAACAUGUGGAGGAAGCUGUGGAAACACAAACAGGUAAACUAUAAACAAUUGUGAUAGCUGAGAUUGUCUCAAACCAUUACCUGUGUUUACGCUUAUGGGAGCUAAUCCUGGAGACUAUAAAAUGUGGUUAACCUCGCUAAACAAGAUUAAGCCAAUAUGUAUGUAUAAAUCAUUACUCUGAUUUCAUUAUUCUCAGUCCAGCAGAUCCCUCUUUCCAUACCUAAUUAUAGAUACACCAGCUACAUUGGAUCAGCACUGUGAUCUCAAUGGCUCUUAGAUCUGAAGCAGAAUCUUUUGACUUUGGGAGGCAACUCAACCAGAAAGGCCAAUCUGAAUAUAUUUAUGAAGGAGCCGCACUUUCAAAUGGGAUGAAACCCUUCUUCUGGAAAAAGAAAUAUGGUGGGAUGAGGAACCUACAGCCCUCUGGAUAUUGCCUGGAUUUCCAUACCUGUUAGCCAGUACAGCCAAGCGGACUUGAUCAGGCACAUAGAUUUCCUGGCUACAGUCAUCCCCUCUUUGGGCUAGAACGAGAAACAACUUUGAUUUCAGAGGGGAAUCAAUCAAGGCAGGUCAGUGAUGGGGGCACCACCUGCCCCUCCUUGCAAGGGAGGGUCAUGAACUUGGCCAGUCAGAGUGGCAAGACUGGCACCAGCCAACUUCUCUUUGCUAACUUCCGCUCUGUUCUUCGUCAAGAAACAAAUCCUGCAUUAAAAUCUCACACCACUAGAGGACACUCAAAGCCUUCAUUUCUUUUCUCGAAACUGGAAUUGCCCAACUGAUUCUGCAGCCUGCGAUUGAAUUCUUCCACUGCAAAAAACAUAUAUAGGGCCCACCAAGUCAAGAAAUAUGAGGUUUGCCUCUGAGAAUGAACCAAUUUUGUUGCAUGGGUUUCUGAGGGUUCCCCCCCCCCAAGAGGCUUAGGGUUAGGUAGGAACUGGGCUUAUCAUUCCUUAGCACAGUUGCAUUUUUAUGAAAUAAAGUUAUGUGUUAAGUUGAGCUCGCUGAUGGUAUUGAUACCCCACCUCUAUCCU